CUACGGGCCGCAGCAGUGGGGAAUAUUGCACAAUGGAGGAAACUCUGAUGCAGCAACGCCGCGUGGAGGAUGACACUUUUCGGAGCGUAAACUCCUUUUAUAUAGGAAGAAGAUGACGGUACUAUAUGAAUAAGCGCCGGCUAACUCCGUGCCAGCAGCCGCGGUAAUACGGAGGGCGCAAGCGUUACUCGGAAUCACUGGGCGUAAAGAGCGUGUAGGCGGAUUAAAAAGUCAGAAGUGAAAUCCUAUAGCUUAACUAUAGAACUGCUUCUGAAACUCUUAAUCUAGAAUAUGGGAGAGGUAGAUGGAAUUUCUGGUGUAGGGGUAAAAUCCGUAGAGAUCAGAAGGAAUACCGAUUGCGAAGGCGAUCUACUAGAACAUUAUUGACGCCGAGACGCGAAAGCGUGGGGAGCAAACAGGAUUAGAUACCCCAGUAGUC
rnacentral:rRNA from 1 species